rnacentral:rRNA from 1 species
UACGGAAGGGGCUAGCGUUGUUCGGAAUUACUGGGCGUAAAGAGCGCGUAGGCGGCUUACCAAGUUGGGGGUGAAAUCCCGGAGCUCAACUCCGGAACUGCCUUCAAAACUGGUAGGCUCGAGUCCGGAAGAGGGGCGUGGAAUUCCCAGUGUAGAGGUGAAAUUCGUAGAUAUUGGGAAGAACACCGGCGGCGGAGGCGGCGCCCUGGUCCGGUACUGACGCUGAGGCGCGAAAGCGUGGGGAGCAAACGGG